rnacentral:tRNA from 1 species
UGGCUCAGUGGUAGAGCAUGGUGUGUGCAACGCCAGGGUUGUGGGUUCAAUUCCCAC